rnacentral:rRNA from 1 species
GGUAACAGGAGAAGCUUGCUUCUCGCUGACGAGCGGCGGACGGGUGAGUAAUACUUAGGAAUCUACCUAGUAGUGGGGGAUAGCACGGGGAAACUCGUAUUAAUACCGCAUACGACCUACGGGAGAAAGGGGGCAGUUUACUGCUCUCGCUAUUAGAUGAGCCUAAGUCGGAUUAGCUAGAUGGUGGGGUAAAGGCCUACCAUGGCGACGAUCUGUAGCUGGUCUGAGAGGAUGAUCAGCCACACCGGGACUGAGACACGGCCCGGACUCCUACGGGAGGCAGCAGUGGGGAAUAUUGGACAAUGGGGGAAACCCUGAUCCAGCCAUGCCGCGUGUGUGAAGAAGGCCUUUUGGUUGUAAAGCACUUUAAGCAGUGAAGAAGACUCCAUGGUUAAUACCCAUGGACGAUGACAUUAGCUGCAGAAUAAGCACCGGCUAACUCUGUGCCAGCAGCCGCGGUAAUACAGAGGGUGCAAGCGUUAAUCGGAAUUACUGGGCGUAAAGGGAGCGUAGGUGGCUCUAUAAGUCAGAUGUGAAAUCCCCGGGCUUAACCUGGGAACUGCAUCUGAAACUGUAGAGCUAGAGUAUGUGAGAGGAAGGUAGAAUUCCAGGUGUAGCGGUGAAAUGCGUAGAGAUCUGGAGGAAUACCGAUGGCGAAGGCAGCCUUCUGGCAUAAUACUGACACUGAGGCUCGAAAGCGUGGGUAGCAAACAGGAUUAGAUACCCUGGUAGUCCACGCCGUAAACGAUGUCUACUAGUCGUUGGGUCCCUUGAGGACUUAG